UGCAAGUCGAACGAGAAGGAAGAGCUUGCUCUUCCUGAAAGUGGCGAACGGGUGAGUAACGCGUGGGUAACCUACCCUUUGGAAAGGAAUAGCCUCGGGAAACUGGGAGUAAUGCCUUAUAAGAUACGUUUGUCGCAUGGCAUUUGUAUUAAACGCUCCGGCGCCAUAGGAUGGACCCGCGUCCCAUUAGCUAGUUGGUGAGAUAACAGCUCACCAAGGCCACGAUGGGUAACCGGUCUGAGAGGGCGAACGGUCACACUGGAACUGAGACACGGUCCAGACUCCUACGGGAGGCAGCAGUGGGGAAUAUUGCGCAAUGGGGGCAACCCUGACGCAGCAAUACCGCGUGAGUGAAGAAGGUUUUCGGAUCGUAAAGCUCUGUUAUUGGGGAAGAAAAAAAGACGGUACCCAAGAAGAAAGUUCCGGCUAACUACGUGCCAGCAGCCGCGGUAAUACGUAGGGAACAAGCGUUGUCCGGAUUUACUGGGCGUAAAGGGCACGCAGGCGGUUUUUUAAGUCAGAUGUGAAAGGCCACAGCUCAACUGUGGACAUGCAUUUGAAACUGAAAGACUUGAGUAUUGGAGAGGCAAGUGGAAUUCCUAGUGUAGCGGUGAAAUGCGUAGAUAUUAGGAGGAACACCGGUGGCGAAGGCGGCUUGCUGGACAAAUA
rnacentral:rRNA from 1 species